UAAGACGAACCGUGCGAACGUUGUUCGGAAUCACUGGGCUUAAAGGGCGCGUAGGCGGGUCAGCCAGUCCGGGGUGAAAUCCUUCGGCUUAACCGGAGAACUGCCUCGGAGACGACUGAUCUGGAGGGAGGUAGGGGUCGCUGGAACUUCCGGUGGAGCGGUGAAAUGCGUUGAUAUCGGAAGGAACGCCGGUGGCGAAAGCGAGCGACUGGACCUUUACUGACGCUGAGGCGCGAAAGCUAGGGGAGCAAACGGGAUUAGAUACCCCGGUAGUCCUAGCCCUAAACGAUGGGUACUAGGUUGUGGACUAGACAUGGGUUCACAGCCGAAGCAAAAGUGCUAAGUACCCCGCCUGGGGAGUAUGGUCGCAAGGCUG
rnacentral:rRNA from 1 species